GGCCGUCGGGAUCUGGGCGUUUGUCUGCAGCGGACGCCAGCCGCGGAGAGCGACCCUGGAGGGGCGCUAGGGAAGGGGGCGGGGUCGGGGCGUGGGGCGGGAGCUUCGCUGCCUGCUUGGGGCUCGCGAGGAGCUGGAGGGAGGGGGUGGCGGGUGGGUAGCUGCGGCCGGGUUUGCGUUUCGGCCCAGAGGAGUGGACUUGAAAGCGCGCUCCGGGUUGUAGGAGGCCUUAGCCAGGAGCGAGUCUAGUCCUGCGUCCUGCAGUUAGGUUUGCUAAAGAUUUGGAGAUGGGCAGGCGACGCAGCCCGGUGUCCAGAGCGCGGGAGGUCACAGCGGGCAGAGGACACAGGGUGCAGGGCGCGGCGCGGGGUGGAGGCUGCAGAGCGGAAGGCGCCGGGCACAGAGCGCUGUGCGCAUGGCGAGGACGCGACCCGCGACGGGGGCUCUGGAGGAGCUGGCCGGGCCCAGCCUGCGGGAGCGGCCUCCCCGGAGUGUGGAGGUCCCGGAGGACGCGAGGGACGCCCGCAAGGCGGGAGGUCGUCCGGGACCCGCGUCCCUGGAGGCUCUGAGCCGCCGGGGAGACCCCAGGCCGGGCUGCAGCGCCUUCCUCCUGCAGGGCAAGCCCGACCUGAACACGGCGCUGUCAGUGCGACAGACGGCGUCCAUCUUCAAGCAGCCGGUGACCAAGAUUACCAGUCACCCCAGCAACAAGGUCAAGAGCAACCCUCAGAAGGCGGUGGACCAGCCGCGCCAGGGGUGGGAUCCGGCUGCACAGAUGAGACGCUGCUGUCGGCCAUCGCCAGCGCCCUGCAUACCAGUACCAUGCCCAUCACCAGGCAGCUGUCGGCCACCGUGGAGAAGAACCUCGGCGUGUGGCUCAACACCACGCAGCCCCCGUGCAAAGCCUUCAUGGUGACAGAGGAGGACUUCAGGAAGCAGGAGGAGCUAGUGCAGCAGGUGUCGAAGCGGCUGGAGGAGGAGCUGAUGGUCGACAUGCUGGCGCACGUGGAGGAGCUGUUGUGAGACGGCGAGGCACCACUGGACAAGGCCUGCACCGAGAAUGACGACCAGGAGGAGGAGGAGCCCGAGGAGCCGGACCCGACCCGGCCCCGGGGAUAGAGCAUGUCUAGGGCAGGUGUUGCGGACUGUGGGGGCUGCCUGGAGUCGCCCUGCACUGGGGCUGCCUGUCACGCAUGGAGUGCUCCGUCUCCCUGGAAGAGCCCAGGCGUCCCCAUCCUGUGGAGUCGCUAAAGCCAGCCCUCCCUGUCCUUUCAGAAGCCCUGCCGAGAGCCUGUGCCGUGAGAGCCGCCUGCAGUUGUGGCCCUCGGCCCCACAUGGACCAGGCUCGGGGCCCUGGAGACGCCUGUGAGGAAUGCUGUGCUCCUGGCUCCCGCCUUGGCCUUCUUCCCUUCUCCGUGCCUCGGGGCACACAGCUGGGGCUGCCCCACCCAAAAGACCCUCCCUGCUCAUCCUCUAAAGAGCCCAGGUCCUGCCUGGUUCCCCAUGACCUUGGGGCUUGAGGCCAGCUUCUCCCACGGCUGCUGCCCCCAGCUUUUUGAUACUGGAGAGCAGCCAGCAGGUGCCCGGCGGCUUGGCACCAAGGAGCGCGGACUCCUGGGAGGGUUUCUCAGUCUGAAGGCGUUUUCAAAAUGCACAUCACCCACUGUGUGGCAGGAGGACGGGACUCUGGUCCUCCAUAGGGGACGUCCAGGAUGGUGCCACCCUCUGCCCUGCCAUGCAGCUGGCGGCACCACAGAUGCUCACAGGCCAAAUGGCACGCCCGGGAGGCCAUGCUCCUUCAGUCAAUCUGUGACCGUCAAGGCUGGAUGUGCACAUCACCAGGCGGCCUCUGCUGCCGCGGGGACACCAGCUGCUGCCAGAAUGAUGUCAGCCAGCCCCCUGCCUCAGUUUCCCUUUUGUAUAGUGGGAACACAGGCACCCAGCUUUGGGGUGGUACUGACACUCCCAGAAGUGUCAGGAGCCACUUGGACAGCACAAGUCUCCCAGAUGCUUCUUGAGUUGCCCAGGUGUCUGGGGAGCUUCUGGUCUGAGGCUGUUUGAAGGAUCUGAUGUGCUCCUGAUACCCCAGUGCCUCGGUGAGGUCAGGUUCCAGGAAGCGGCGGCCUGAACCCUGGGCUCCUACGGGGGGGGUUCAUUACCUGCAUUGACCUUAGGCCCAUCGAGAGGGCCUGUCCUGCCUCUGCCCCACCUGGGAUCUGGGAUCUGGUCACUGCCUGGGGCAGACUGAUGAGCAGAGUCACCUCUGUGGCUGGGCCGUGACCCCUGAUGGUGCCAGGCUGUGGGGCCAAGGAAGUGCCACUCGGGAGCCAGGCUCUCCACUCGGCCAGGUGCCCUGCAAGGACAGCCACAGGGCAGUGGACUGGCAGCAGCUUCUUGCUCCCUGUCGCAGUCAAAGCACAAAUUUUCGGGGUGGGCUCAAGGGCUGGGCCCCCGAGGGACCCUCCGGGUGGGGACCGAGUCUUCCUGGGGUCGGUGCCAUCUGGCCAGGACCCUGUGCCAGCCCGAGGUUCCCAGACGCUGUGGUGGGGUGGCCUCCCCUCUGUCUGCAUGGUGGAGGGAGCUGUGGGUGUGGGCACGUGACUGAAUAAAGCCACCAUGGGAUGUGCAAAAAAAAAAAAAGAUUUGGAAAUCAGAAGGUAAUGUGAUUCUUCCAUGUGACUACACUUUGAUUUUGCAGUUUCACACGCUUUUGCAGAUUACAGUCCGAGAUUGGGAGUUUUGAGGGCAGUUUCCACCUUAAGUGGCCUUUUUCGGUGGUAAAACCAACAGGUUCGCGGAGACUGUAGGGGUAUGUAAGCAGCAACUCAAAAAUUAUUUUAUUGGUAAUGAUAUUGGGAAGCAUUACGUCUAGAAGACCAUCAGAGGUAAAACAUUUGUUAGGAUUGGAGUGAGAAUCUUGCUAAUGGAAUUGUGUGCCUUUAGGAAAAGAUGGCGUAGUUGAAGCCAGCUUUCUACAGGGGAAUGUCCUGUUGCAGUUCUGGGUCAGUGGUGUCCGGAUGGGGAUGUGACGGGCGCCCAAGAUCCAUUUCUACUUCGGAAGAAGUGGGGAAUGCCCCACUUGUUCUCUCCCUCCUCUUUUCCUUUUUCCCUUCCAUCCCUCCCUCUCCCUUUCUUCUUCCCCCCUCUGGUAUUUUUGAACCAUACUGAAGGAGUCAAGUUUAAACCACCGUUAACUAGCUUUGCCUAAUUUCCUAAAGGAAAGAAUUUUUUUUUUUUUUUUUACACUACAUAUGGCUCUGAUUAAUCUUUUAAUUUGAGAUGUUAGUUGCUUAGUUUGAAAACUGUUGAACCACAUCUAUGGUAUUCACCAGUUAGAAGUUGAGCUGUAGAUGGGCAGUGAAAAAUGUUCUUUUGAAAAUUCAGGUGGGGGGCUGCUGCAGUGCCAGUUGACAGUGUGCCAGCAAGGAGCCCUUAAGGCCUCCUCGCUUUUUCCUCUGACUCGGGGGACUUGAAAUUCCGGUAUCACUUCAUGUACGGUGUAACUACAUUUCUAGCACUGUCUAGUGGCCAAGUUAAGGAAGAGUUGGUUUGAGAAAUAUUGAACAAUCUGCAUAGACUUCUCAUCAGAUCUGUAAGCUGAGGACAUUUAAUUAAAAAUUAGUUUUUGGGUCGGGCGCGGUGGCUCAAGCCUGUAAUCCCAGCACUUCGGGAGGCCGAGGCAGGUGGAUCACAAAGUCAAGAGAUUGAGACCGUCUUGGUCAACGUGGUGAAACCCCGUCUCUACUAAAAAUACAAAAAAAUUAGCUGGGUGUGGUGGCGCAUGCCUGUAAUCCCAGCUACUCAGGAGGCUGAGGCAGGAGAAUUGCCUGAACCCAGGAGGCGGAGGUUGCGGUGAGCCGAGAUCGCGCCAUUGCACUCCAGUCUGGGUAGCAAGAGUGAAACUCCGUCUCAAAAAAAAAAAAAUUAGUUUUUAUAGAGACAGAGCUUUGCUCUGUUACCCAGGCUGAAAGUGCAGUGGUCUGAUCAGAGGUCACUGCAGCCUCAGACUCCUGGACUCCAGCCUCUCCCAAGUAGUAGGGACUACAGGUGUCUGCCACUAUGCCCGGCCAAUAUUUUUCUACUUUUUGUAGAGACGGUGUCUUGCUAUGUUGCACAGGCUGCUCUGGAACUCCUGGCCUCAUGCCAUCCUCCUGUCUCCCAAACAGCUGGGAUUACAGGCCAGAGCUACUUGAGCUCAGCCAUAUUUUGGUUUUAAUGAUACGAACUUGACUAUAAAAGUACUUCAACUCAGCUGACGAUUGUGCCACUGUACUCCAGCUUGAGCAACAAAACCUAUCUCAAAACAACAGACUUCAAUUUAAAUUAUAAUCUUUGUGCACACAAAAAGGUGCUUUUUGAGAUUGACAUCUCAGGUACAGUUAGUUUUAACUACAGAAAUGAAUCCCUGAGUGAAUAACAAUUAUAAGUUUUGUUAUCUGAGGGCAGGUGGGUUACAGAUUUUGUAUCCAAACUUUGAUUCGUCUUUUAAUAGGCAGAAAAUGACAAAAACAUGAUCAGGCUUACAUUUCUGUCCAAAAUAAGCUUGAAUUGCAGUAAAACUCUUGUGUGGCUGACUAUAAUAUUUUCAUGAUUUAGGACUGGCACAACCACAGACUCUCCUUUGUGUUUUGUGUGUGUUAAAUAUAACAUUUCUUACCACUUCAGGGUUUGUCCAUAAAGAUAGGAACUGGUAGGAAGUGAUUAUGAUUUAAUGUUCUACAUUAUAUUUUGAAUAUAGACACUUUGGAGAAUAGGUAAUGUUUUUAAAAUCGUUUUUCUUGGAAUCUAAAAUUUUACAGCACUGUGUCCUCAAAACACAUUAUUAUUAUAUUAUUAUUAUUAUUUUUGAGGCAGGGUCUGGCUCUGUCACCCAGGCUGGAGUGCAGUGGCGUGAUCAUGGCUCACUGCAGCCUCAAUUUUCUGGGCUCCAGUGAUCCUCCUGCCUCAGCCUCCCAAGUAGCAGGUACUACAGGCAUGCGCCACCACACCUGGCUAAUUUUUGUAUUUUUGGCAGCGAUGAGUUUCACCAUGUUGCCCAGGUUGGUCUUGAACUUGUGAGCUAAACAAUCCUCUCACCUUGGCCUCCAAAAGUCCUGGGAUGAGAGGCAUGAGCCACCCCUCCGAGCCAUCCAACAAUGACUCAGUCUUUACCGGCUCAGCCAGGUCCUGGGAUGGUGGUAAGCACAUUGUAGAGCGCUCUCAUCACUUGUUUUUAUUUAUUUAUUUAUAUAUUUUUUUGAGACGGAGUCGCUCGUUACCCAGGCUGGAGUGCAAUGGCGUGAUCUUGGCUCACUGCAACCUCUGCCUCCUGGCUUCAGGCAAUUCUCCUGCCUCUGCCUCCUGAGUAGCUGGGACUACAGGCGUGCGCCACCAUGCCCAGCUACGUUUUUUUGUAUUUUAGAGACCACCUUGUUGACCAGGAUGGUCUCGAUUUCUUGACCUCGUGAUCCACCUGCCUCGGCCUCCCAAAGUGCUGGGAUUACAGGCGUGAGCCACUGCGCCUGGCCACUUGUUUUUAUUUUAAUGUUCUUAGUCUAGCUCAUUUUUGUGAUAAUGUGCUAUUUUAGUUUAUUAUUAUUUAUUUUUAAAAGAUAGGUUGGGCGCUGUGGCUUACGCCUGUAAUCCCAGCACUUUAGGAGGCCAAGGCAAGAGGAUUGCUUAGCUCAGAAAUUCAAGACCAGCCUGGGUAACAUGGUGAAACUCAUCGCUACCAAAAAUACAACACUUAGCUGGGCAUGGUGGCAUGCACUUGUAAUCCCAGCUACUCGGAAGGCUGAGGCAGGAGAAUUGCUUGAAGUAGGACCUGGGAGGUGGAGGUUGCAGUGAGCCGAGAUCGCGCCACUGUGCUCCAGCCUGUGCUACAGAGCGACACUCCGUCUCAAAAUAAAUACAUAAAUAAAGACUAGGUUUCCCUGUGUUGCCCAGGCUGGUGUGGAACUUUUGGCUUAAGGAGAUCCGCCUUGGUCUCUCACAGGGCUGGAAUGGUACAUGCUAUUUUUAAAGUAGACUUUCAAACUUUGUUUCUUUGAGGAAUUUGCUUUUUUUUUUUUUUUAAUUUUUUAAAUUUUUUUAUUUUUAUUUUUUUUGAAAUAUAAUUUUACUUUUUAUUUUUACAAUACAGUGUAUAGUAUGACAUCUCGAAAUAACAGAGUGCAGAUACAGGAUAAGAGUACAAAAGGGCAUUAACAGAUGUCAGAAGGUUACCUCUAUUAAGGCUAAAUCCCUGCUUUAUAUUUUCCACACAUUCACAAAAGUACAUUCAAAUCAUUCCUUAUCAAUACUUACUUUCUUAGGCCAUGAGAAAAGGAAAAUCCAGACAUUAGAUUUUCAUAGAAAGCAAAUCUGGAUUAGUCUGAAUAAUAUUCUCUUUCCAUUUGUUCUGACUUAGGAAAAUUUGAGAAAUAAAGAUAUGCACCAACCUAAUACUUCCUCAUUUGGAUUUUCCAAAUACAUUGCAUUAGCUAUUGAUAUCAUUUCUAUAUUAACUGGUUAAGACCUCCCCCACACGGGUUUCCAGUCAGAACCAUAGAGGUACAGGAAAUGGAAUUGGCCAGAGGAGGAAUUUGCUUUUUACUUUAUAGUGAACUGGAUCUUUCAAAUCAUCACAACAAAACAUUACACCAUUCAUACUAGGUGGGGUCUAAGUAAAAGGUCUAAAAUGUAAACAUUUUUCUGUUAAUGUUUUAAUUUUGAGAUCAUUGUAGAGUGACAUACUGGUGUAAGAAAUAAUAAUCUUGUGUAUCUUUCCCUAGUCCCCCAAGGGUAACUUCUUGCAGAAAUGGAGUACAGUUAUCACCAGGAUAUUGAUAUUGGUACAGUCUAUCUUUGAUGCAAUCCACGGUCUCAUUCAGAUUUCCCUGCUUUUAUUUCUGCUCAUUUGUGUGUGUGUUUAGUUAACUACAUGGCAUAUUUUAUUCAGAACUUACUGGUUUUUUCCUAAUGUCCUUAUUCUGUCUCAGAAUCCCACAUGACUUUGAGUCUUCAUGUCCCCUUGGCUCCUCUAGACAGUGACAGUUUCUCAGGCUGUCCUUUUUGGUGACCUUGAGAGUUUUGAGGAAUACUGGUCAUGUGAUUUGUAGAAUUCCCUAUUUUGGUUUUCUGGUGUUUUUCUCAUGAUUCAGCUGUGGUUAUGGGUUUUGGGAAGGAAAACCACAGAGGUUAAGUGCUCUUCUCAUCCUCUCAUAUUAAGGGUGAUGCUGUCAAGAUGUCUCGGGUUGCUGGGCUUGACUGCAUGGCUGAGGUCAUAUUUGCCAGGUUUCUCCACUGUGGAGUGACUCUUUCCCUCCUUUAUGUACUGUUCGUUUUGGAAGGAAGUCACUCUGGACAGGUGCCCUACUGGCAUGGGGAGUUCUGUUCCUCUUCCUGGAGGGUGGAGUAGCUGCAUAAAAUAUUUGGAAUGUUUCUGUAUGGAAGAUUUGCUGAUCCUUACUCAUUUGUAUGUUUAUUCAGUUACUCCUAUCAACAUGGACUUGCAGAUAUUGAGUGUAUGCUUUGGGUUAUCAUCUAGUGCUGUGUGGUUUGUUUCGUUGCCCCUGUCAUCUGGCUGUGUCCACUGGGAGCUCUUUCAGCUGACUCCUGUGUUCCUUUCACAUAGUCACAUUAUUAUUUGUUUGCUGUUUUUGAGCACUUCCUUACAUUCUGGUACUACAUGAUGUUCUGGGAUCACGUAUGUGUUUUCUGCCCCAGGCUUAGACUCCAGCAUUUCUCCAAGGAUCCCCAGUUCGUUUUAUGGGAGAAUGGAAUUAGAAACCAAGAUCUGGGCACUGGUGUGCUCAUUAUUACUGGGAUAUCAUGGCAUCUUGGCCCCCUCAGGGGACAGAGUUGGGAAAACAGGUGUGUAUAUACAAAUGCGUGUAUAUACACAUCUGUGAUUAUUUUGAUAUAUAUCCAUCUGCAUCCAUAUUAAGCUCUACACUCAUUUACGUUGAAGUCUCCAACUCUAAUCCAGCUCUAUCGGGAUUAUUCUAGCCUUCCCCUCCAGUUUAUCUGUAAUUUCUCUGUCUGACAGAGAAAAUCCUGGCUCCCGCUAUCCACGGUCCAUUUACUUAUUUGCUCUGCUUUGGUAUACCUGAAUAGAGGUUUCAGAAUUGUUGUCCUGUACUCUUUGAAUGACUUGACCCCUUAGAGUACAGCACUCAGGUACAGUUCCUUUCACUUUGAGUCUUACAUUCUCCCCUCAUUUCCACAUUACUUAGGUGCUUCUCUCCCCACCCCUCUGUGGAGUUGAGUCCUGUAUGUGUAAUUCAAUUGGUUUCUUCUGCCUCAGCCUGCAUUCCAUAGGGCCUCAUUAAUUAUUUUUAAAAUUACAUAGAUUAAUGUUUGCUCUUUGCGCUGUAAAGUUCAGUAGAUUUGACAGAGGCAUCCACAACUACAGUACCGUACAGAACAGUCGCACUGCCCCCAAAAUCCCUGCGCCUCACCUCCUAAGCUCUCCACAACUACCAGUCUCUUCUCCAUCUCUUGAGAUUUUCCCCAUUUUAGAAUGUCAUGUAUUUGGGUUCAUGCAGUCUACAGCUUUUUCAGACUGGCUUCUUCUGUCUAGCAGUGUUCAUUGAGUGGAUUGAGAGUUCAUUUCUUUUUAUUUUUUGAUGUUAUUUACCAUGUGGCUAUACUGAUAAGUGGUUUAAGUCUCUUACUUUGUAGCUUCUCUUUUCAUUCCUUUUUGCCAUUUUUUUUAGUUCUACUUUAUCUGUUGAAGAACUUGGGCCUUUUGACUUGUUGACUUUCCUAUAGUCUGGAUUUUGCUGAUUGCAUACUCCACAGUGCAAGUUCAAAGUGGGUGUUUUUGGUUCUACUUCCUACAGAUUGGUAGCAGGAUCUUCUAUCAAGGCUUUUUCUUUAUUUAGCACACAGACUCGAUCACAUCAGUAUCAAGUGGAUGGAAGCUUAGGUAGGAAGUAAACUCAGUUUUCAGGGGUUAAAAUGACCCGCCUUGUGGAUAUAUGAGUCAUCUACUUGCCUCUUGUUUUAUGUUGGCCAAUACCUGUAGCAGAGGGUGCUGAAGAGUAGAAAUUGAGAGAGAAUUGAGUUUGAGUUUUAUUAUUACAUGUUAGCAGCUCUGGUAAGAAACUCUAGGAACUAAGUGGGCAUGACAGAUGAAAAUGAGGCUUUAGGAUAAUGUGAUUGCUCCCCAUUCAUGUGUAAUUGACAGUCGGGGUGAGAUGAGCUCGAUUUAAAGAAAGAUGAACCUAAGACAGUAACAGAAGGAUUUUGCCCCAGCCUGCCUCUGCCCAAGCAUGUGUCCCUUGGCAGCUCCCAGCAUCUCUUGGGCUUCCUCAUUUUCCAUUUAUGAUAAUAUAGUACUUACCCCCAUCUUUGAGGGAUACAUUCCACGACCCCCAGUAGAUGCCUGAAACCACAGAUAAUACUGAACCCUAUAUAUACUAUGUGCAAACUUUUUUUUCCUUCAUAAUUUCAUGGAUAGAUUUGUUCUGACUGUAGGUCUUAGCAGCCUCAUCAUUUGAUACUGUUUUCUUAUUCAGUCAAGAAUUUUCAGGUUUUCACGUGAAAGAAGCUCUUUAUGGCUUUUCUUUGGCAUAUCGAAAUUGCAGCAUUAGUACUCUGAGCUUUGGGGUCAUAUUAAGUCAAAUAAAAGUGGCUGGAACACAAGCCACUGCAACAGAUGAUGUGAUCAGCAAGGCGACUACCAAGUGACUAAUGGGCAGGUGGCCUAAACGGCAUGGAGAAGCUGGACAAAGGGAUGGUCACGGGACAGAGCGGGAUGUCACUCAGUUUCAUCCUGCUUCUCAGAAUGACGGGCAGUUUAAAGCUUAUGAAAUAUUUUUGGCAUUUCCAUGAGGUUCACUUUGGGUAACUGAAACCACAGCAGGCGAAACUGUAGUUAAGGAAGGACUGCUGUGAUGUUUUAUAUUUCAUACAUAAUUUCAUUCUGAUUUUGGUACAUGGGUAGGCCUGGCAAGUAAGUCUCCGACCUGCCCAAGGACACCACCGGUAACUGCUGGGUCCAGGCCUUGAAACGAGGUCAGUCUGAGGUCUUGCCCUUGCUGAAUGAAAUUACCCCUUCUGUAGAUUGAAAGGUCUGGAGUCGCUGUACCCUUAGAUUGAUUUUAGUACCUUUAUUUAUUUAUUUAUUUAUUUAUUUUUUUUGAGAAGGAGUUUCGCUCUUGUGACCCAGGCUGGAGUGCAAUGGCACGAUCUUGGCUCACUGCAACCUCUGCCUCCUGGGUUCAGGCAAUUCUCCUGCCUCAGCCUCCCGAGUAGCUGGGAUUACAGGCACGCAACACCAUGCCCAGCUAAUUUUUUGUAUUUUUAGUAGAGACGGGGUUUCACCAUGUUGACCUGGAUGGUCUCAAUCUCUUGACCUUGUGAUCCACCCGCCUCGGCCUCCCAAAGUGCUGGGAUUACAAGUGUAAGCCACCGCGCCCGGCCCGAUUUUAGUACCUUUAGAUUGAGAUUGAGAGGCUUGAGUCUGGAUGCUGAGGUGUCUGAGGUUGGGGAACUUAAUUUGAGAAAAUUACCUAAUUUUGAAGUCUUUAGCUUUUUAGUGCCAUAUUUUUUCAUAUAAAGGAUAGAAUAUUUAGGCUGGGCGCCGUGGCUCACACCUGUAAUCCCUGCACUUUGGGAGGCCGAGGUGGGUGGAUCAUGAGAUCGAGAUCCAGACCAUCCUGGCCAACAUGGUGAAACCCCAUCUCCACUAAAAAUACAAAAAUUAGCUGAACAUGGUGGUACAUGCCUGUUAUCCCAGCUCCUUGGAGGCCGAGGCAGGAGAAUCGAUUGAACCUGGGAGGCAGAGGUUGCAGUGAGCUGAGAUUGUGUCACUGAACUUCCAGCCUGGUGAGACCCUGUCUCCAAAAAAAAAAAGAAUACUUACACAUGUCCCUUCACUUACGUGUUUCAACCCUUGAAAAAGUCACUGAAGAGAAUGCACAAGAAUUAAACUUACCUUCCUAAGAUACUCAGGUUCCAGACCAGUAGGAAGUCAUGAGUAAUGUGUUAAAAGUGCACUAGCUCCUAAGGUGCUGUGUCACAUUUGCACACUUUUUAAAAUCUGGACUCAAAAUUCAAUGUACUGAUGAGCCAUCUGUAGGGUAAGCCCUCAUGGGGGUUGAGUACAAGGGCUGUGCCCCUCUUGCUCCUCCCCAUCCUUCUUGGGGUGGGAGGCAGUGUAAGGAGAUAAGAGAAAUAGGAUAUUCAGAGGAAUAUUCUUUUUUUUUUUGAGACGGAGUUUCACUCUUGUCACCAGGCUGGAGUGCAAUGGUGCGAUCUCGGCUCACUGCAACCUCUGCCUCCUGGGUUCAGGCAAUUAUUCUGCCUCAGCCUCCUGAGUAGCUGGGAUUACAGGCACGCGCCACCGUGCCCGGCCAGGAAUAUUCUUAAUAUUGGGACUGAAUUAAUGGAUUUGGCAGGGUGUUUCUCUCAACAACAAUUUGUUUAAAUUACUAAUCCUUCUUCUAAUUCCUGUCACAUACAAAUCCUAGUUAUGUUUCAGGAUUUACUGGCAGUCUAUGGAAGCUACUUGAAUUAAUUUAUAGGAGAAAGGGAUUUAAUUCAGAAGUCAUUGCAAGGGAUAUGGGAGUAGUAGAUUCUAGGUUGAGUUUCUAGGAAAACACACCAGCCUGGGGAAUCCUGCCCCUUCAGCCCAGCACACCAGGAACUAGUGUGCUGGGCUGCUUAAACAGGCCACACCUUCAGGGUUCAUGCCAGCAUGUGGAUGCCCCACUGGACCUCUCUCUUUGGCUUACUCACCAACCCUAUGGUCUGCAAAUGUGUCCUAAGACAUGUUUGGAACCUGAGCCACAAGGGUGCCUAGGGAAUGCAUUUUCAACUAUUUUUUUUUUUUUCAAAGACAGGUCUGGUUCUGUUGCGCAGGCUAGAGGGCAGUGAUGCGAUCUUGGCUCACUGCAGCCUUGACCUCCCCAACUCAAAGGAUCCUGAGUUGCUGGGACUACAGGUGUGCCUCACUAUGCCCAGCUAAGUUUUGCAUUUUUUGUAGAGAUGAGGUUUCAUUAUUUUGCCCAGGCUGGUCUUGAACUCCUGGCUUCAAGCAGUCCUCCCACCUCGGCCUCUCAAAGUGGUGCUGGAUUUUUGGCAUGAGCCACCAUGCCUGGCUGUGUUUUCUACUUUAGUGUCUUGAAGAGAGUUAGAAUAAAAAUGAAUGUGAGUCCCAUGUGAGUGCCCAGGGCUGCUGUAACAAACUACCACACAUGGAGUGACUUAGAGCAACAGAAAUUUCAUCUCAAAUUCUGUGACUGGACGUCCAAAAUAAAGCUUGCCGGGUAGUUCCCCCCCAGAGGCUCUUCCUGGCCUCCUCUAGACGCUGGAAGACUUGUGCUGCCUCCCUCCUGUGUCUGCCUCUAUUAAAUUUCAAUCUGAUGCAGUAUUAAUGGACUCACCAUUGCACAGUGCAAGUUGGGGAGAAAUAAAAUAACAGUCAUGGCAUUGUUAAUAACAGGAUACAUUCUGAGAAAUGCAUUGUUAGGCAAUUUCAUCCUUGUACGAACAUCAUAGAGUGACGUAGCACAAAGCUAGACAGUACAGCCUACUGCACACCCAGGCUGUGUGAUGGAACCUGUUGCUCCUCAGCCGCAGGCCUAUACAGCACGUACUGUACUGGACACUAUAGGCAAUUGAAACACAAUGGUGAGCAUUUGUGUGUCUGUAGCCAAACAUAGAAAAGAUAGAGUAAAAAUAUGCUAUUGUAAUCUUCCAGGACCACCAUCGUACGUGCAGCCUGUCAUUCACUGCAACACUGCUAUGUGGUGCGUGACUAGACAAGACAUAAGAUAAAGGCUUUAUCAGUAUGUCAGGGACAACCGUGUUCUGUAUUUAGUACCAGUUGCCUUGUUGGUUGGCCACUUGAAUCAUGGAGAAGCUGUCUCUUAGCUGUGUUGGCUCCAUAAGGCCUGUAAAAUGUGACUUCCAUGGUGAUUGGUUAACCUGUGCAGGGGAGCAUCCUAGGUUGUGUAGCAGAGAGAAUAUAAAGGAGUGUAGCACAGCAGGGGCUUCUUGUGUUUAGCUCAGUUUGGUUCAGUUCUGAGAUUCAUCUACGCCACUAAGUAUAUCAUAGGUUCCUUUCUGUUGCUGUGUAGUGCUCUAUUGAAUUAACUGUACUAUAGUUUUGUUUUGUUUUUUUACUAGUAAUGAACAUUUUUAUUUUCAGUGUUGAGGUAUUGCAAAUAAUAAUGGUACAAAAGUCCUUGUAUGUGUCUCGUUGCAUAUAAACCUAUGAGUUGAAUGGUUGGGCUGCAGGGUAUGUAUGCUCAAUUUAAUGUCUCCUAUCAGUUUAUUUUGAAAAUAAACCUACAACAAAUAGCAAGAAUGCCAAAAUUAAUAUCAUACAUUUAUAUGAAUUCAUUAAUUUUAGCUUCUUACUCGCUGGUUUUAUGUCUGCACCUUUUUCUGAAUCAUCUGAGGGCCGGUUGUGGGCAUCAUGACAGUUUACCUCCUGGGAUAGUCAUCACAGUCAGAGCUUAAUUUUUCAAAUCGUAUUAGCUAACAUAUUGUCCAGAUUUAAAUACCUGAAUUGUCCUGAUGAUAUGCUUUAUGCUUUUAAAUAUUUGCAUACAGGAUUCAAUUCAGGAUCAUGGACUGCAUUUGUUUUCAUGUGUCUUUAGAUUUGGUUCAUCUAGAAAUUCCUAGCCUAUUUUUCUUUCAUUACGUGAAUAUUUUUGAAGAGCUCAGGUCAGUCAUUUUGCAGAAGUCCUUCAGUUUGUACAUGCCUCCUCCUUCUCAGGAGCAGGUUACAGAUGGACCGUGUUGGUCGGAGUACUCCACAGGUGCUGCCGUGCCAUCCUCUGUACCUGCCCGCUCCAUGGCGGGGGUGAGUUUGCUUAGGGUGGCAUUGGCCAGAGUUCUCUGUUGCAGAGGUAAUCUUUUCCUGUUUAAUUGACUGAAGUCGUCUCUGGGGUGGUAGUCUGUAACUGUAGGUAUUCAGUGCCUCAGUACACAAGUAUACAUGCGUGCGUGCAUACAUGCAUGUACAAGCAGCCUGAGUUCUGCCUCUGUGGGUUCAGUCAACCACAAAUCAAAGAUGCUUGGGGGAGAAAAGGGAUGGCUGAAUCAGUACUGAACAUGUACAGACUUUUCUCAUCUCAUUAUUCCUGAAACAAUACACUAUAACCACUGUUUGCAUAGCAUCUGCUUUGUAUUAGGUAUUAUAAGUAAUCUAGAGAUGAUUGAAAGUUUAUGGUAGGAUGUGCAUAGGUUAUUUGCAAGUGCAUUUUAUAUCGGGGAGUUGAGUAUCCAUGGAUUGGUACCUGAGAGGGUCCUGGAAUCACUUUCUAGAUACCGAGGGACAAUUCUAUAUGUAACUUAAUGUAUUUUUUUAUUGAGGUGAAAUUCACAUAAUACAACUAACCGUUUUAGAGGAAUCUUUCAGCAACACUUAGUGGCUCACACUGCUCUGCAGUCACUGCCCUACCUAUAUCAAAUUUGAAAACGUUUUCAUCUCCUUGUUCUUGCUGCCUGCAGCCCCUGGCAGCUUCCCAUCUGAGUUGUGUUGGUAGAUUUACUUAUCCUGAGUAUUUUAUAUAAAUAGACUCACAGGAUACGUGAUCUUUUGUUUCUGGCUUCCAUCACUUAGCAUGAUGUUUUUAAGACUAGUCAGCAUUGUAGCAUGUGUUAGUACUUUGUUCCUUUGUGUAGUGGAGUAAUUAAUAUUACACUGUAUAUGCUACAGUUUGUUCACCCACUCACCUGUUGAUGAGUAUCUGGGCCGUUUUUCUUCAGACAGUUGGGAAUGACAAUUUUUUUUUUUUAAUUUUGAGAUGGAGUCUUGCUCUGUCACCCUGGCUGGAGUGCAGUGGCACGAUUUUGGCUUACUGCAGCCUCCACCUCCUGGGUUCAAGCUGUUCUCCUGCCUCAGCCUCCCAAGUAGCUGGGAUUACAGGCAUAUGCCACCAUGCCCGGCUAAUUUUUUGUUUUUUUAGCAGAGACGGGGUUUCACCAUGUUGACCGGGCUGGUCUUGAACUCCUGACCUUGUGAUCUGCCCACCUUGGCCUCCCAAAGUGUUGGAAUUACAGGUGUGAGCCAUCGUGCCUGGCCGGCACAGUAUUUUUUUACCCGAUGGUUCUAGCAUCUGCUGAUGAUUCUUGCCUGAAUAAGUUAUUACUAUGAUAAGUAUAAAAUGAAGAUCUUGUAUUUUUGUCUUUCUGCGACAUUUAUCAGAAGGAAUUCUCCUGUGAAGAAGACUUUCUGUGUGUUUGUAUAGUAUUAAUUUCUUUUUUUAAAAAUCUGAUGGGUAUAUAGUAGGUGUAUAUAUUUAUCAGUCUGGACUUGGGGAUUCUUUUCAAAGUCAGUAUAAAUAAUUUAUUCCUAUUUUUCAUUUCUGUGCUCAAAUUGUGCCAGUAUUGCCAGUGGUGCCUGUCCCUGUUCACACGUCCUGUCAGUGUUGUGCGAGUCAGUAGCGUCCUGGGUGGUUGGGUAUGUAAGGGUUGUUAACCACUGUGUGCCUCAUUACCGUGAUCUAACAUUUCAGGUUUUUGAGGUCUGUUUUUUGGUAAUGCCCUACUUCUUUUUCUUUCUCCUAUACAUUGCUUUGAUUCAUAUCUCCCUACCUUUUUCUUAUUGCUUCUAAAUUUGCUGUGGUUUGGAACGUGGAUUUCGCAAACCUGAAAUGAUGUCAGGUUAAGGGUGACUGGUGUUAGUUACGGCCCUGCAGUGGGGACAGGAGCUGGGCUUGGGGUGCCCCUCAAGAUGAGGAGGAGGACGUAAGGGGAAUAUCCUCAUAGCUUACAGGGUUUUGGCAGUUGAGAUUGUGGGCUGAGUUUUCCUAUGGGGAGCUAGUUUUGAACUUGAAUGAAGUCCCGUUUGGGGGAAUUGAAAGAAUGAAACUGAUCCUCUAGAGUUGAACUCUCUGUCCUUCCUCCAGUAGCUGUUCCGGGGGGAGCCUUUGCUUGACUGUUUCCUCCGAGCACCCCUGUCCUGUCACACACCGCCCACAUCUCCACUUCUUUGAA